rnacentral:lncRNA from 1 species
UCAGUUGUGGCCAAUGGGAACACAGGUAUGCCAACCACAGGCAGUGGCUGCAGAGGUGAGAUGCCGAGUGUGAAUAGUGAAAAAGCAGAAUCAGAAAAUGUAGCAAGAGGAAACUAGGAGAAAUGCCUCACUAAUAAUUCUCAGUUAGGUACCAGCUCUGCCACAGUGGGCUCUUGGAGGCCCUGAUUCCAGGGCUUGGCUUCUGGAUGGCAUUUCUGGACCCGCCCUGAGCCAGAAGGGAACACACUGCCCUGAAGGGAGAGUCCCA